rnacentral:rRNA from 1 species
UAUGAGUGGCGAACGGGUGAGUAACACGUGAGUAACCUGCCCUCUCCUUUGGGAUAACGCCCGGAAACGGGUGCUAAUACUGGAUAUUCACUGGCCUUCGCAUGGGGUUGGUGGAAAGGUUUGUUCUGGUGGGGGAUGGGCUCGCGGCCUAUCAGCUUGUUGGUGGGGUGAUGGCCUACCAAGGCUUUGACGGGUAGCCGGCCUGAGAGGGUGACCGGUCACAUUGGGACUGAGAUACGGCCCAG